GCGCUGCACUCGUUCUUUUCCAUGCUACCUGUAAACGUAUCGUUAGCUCUCUAUAUGAGGCCGGGAAACGGGAUCCAGACCUGCCUGGGGGAUUUUCCAGCGUAGUAGUGUCUGAAACUUUGAUUUGUUGUAAUAGAGGGAGACAGACGUAGCGUUAGCUCUCUGUGAGGCCAGGAAACGGGAUCCAGACCUGGGGGAUUUUCCAGCGUAGUGUCUGAAACUUUUAUUUGUUGUAAUAUCCCGGACUGUGUGACGUGUCUCGGUUUGAGGAGGGAGCUGUGUCUGCCGCUCUGCGCUGGUUUCUACCGCCAGGAGUGACCGUGGCCGUGGACUGCCAUCGUGGAUUUUCCGUUCUCAUGCAGGAUUUGAAUCGCCGAACUUCUACGUCAGUAAGAUCUUUCCUUCAGCCAGGAAGGCCAAGCUGAGGAGGAGGAUGGCAGUUUUUCCCAGAAGCAUCCAGUACCACAUCUGACCCUGCAAACCUACAUGGACACAAAUGGAUGGAGAUUGGGCUUUUAGUUACAUAAAAUCCCUUCAGAAGUAGAGCUGCAGGAACAUACACAGAAAUGAAAUGCAGCAGAGUCAGAGGGAGUGAAAAAGAAUGUAGACUUAAUAAAAGACUGCACUAU
ensembl:lncRNA